GUCGUAACAAGGUUUCCGUAGGUGAACCUGCGGAAGGAUCAUUGUCGAAUCCUGCAAAGCAGUACCACUCGCGAACAAGUUCACAACCGCAGGAACUAAUCGAGUGUAUGGAUUUCAUUGCACUUGAUUGUUUCCUGACGGCUCUCGGGCAUUUUGCCCUUGCGCUAAACAAACCCCCGGCGCGAGAAGCGCCAAGGAAUACUAUAAUAAGAGCUAGAUCCAUCCUCUCCCGUUUGCGGGGACUAGGGGAUUGGGGACGGCUUCUUUCAUAAUCUAAACGACUCUCGGCAACGGAUAUCUCGGCUCUCGCAUCGAUGAAGAACGUAGCGAAAUGCGAUACUUGGUGUGAAUUGCAGAAUCCCGUGAACCAUCGAGUCUUUGAACGCAAGUUGCGCCUGAAGCCAUUAGGCCAAGGGCACGUCUGCCUGGGCGUCACGCAUCGCGUCACCCCUCCUCCAAAUUUGGUGGAUGGGGUGGAAUGUGACCUCCUGUGCCUCUAGGUGUAGUUGGUCGAAAUUUGAGUCCGGAAUUUAGGAUUUCACGGCAAGUGGUGGUUGGACAAACAACUCGCGUGCUGUCGUGUGCCAAACCUUCCGUGGCUGGAAAAACCCUAAGGCAUGUGUUACUCUCCACUUUGUGGGGAUGAACUUGUGCUACGACCGCGACCCCAGGUCAGGCGGGAUUACCCGCUGAAUUUAAGCAUAUCAA
rnacentral:rRNA from 1 species